rnacentral:tRNA from 1 species
GGAGAGAUGGCCGAGUUGGCUGAAGGCGCUCGCCUGGAAAGCGUGUAGACGGGGAUAACUUGUCUCGCGGGUUCGAAUCCCGCUCUCUCCGCCA